ACUCUUCAACCCACCGGUUCCUUGUUGAACCGAGUUGGUGUUUGGAUUUUGAGUGUUGCAAGUCUCGCAAGAGACGUUGCUCAUUCGUAAUACAUUAGCGUCACAAUUUCGUAAUCGGAUUGACUCAGCGUAAUAAGACUAUUUGCUGAGGACACCUCACGGUGGCCGAGAAUGAAGAGCUGGAAGCUUCAAACCCCUCUAGUCAACUUUAG
rnacentral:misc_RNA from 1 species